AGAGUCGAUCGGAUAGUUACUCUCAAUCCGCAGCUUGCGAAAUUGAGAGAGGAAAGUCCGAGCACCGCAGGACAGGAUGCCUCCUAACGGGAGGGCCCCUUAAAUGUGGGGAUGGAAAGUGCAACAGAAAAUAUACCGUCCAUCAGCUGGUGGAUAAGGGUGAAAAGGUGGUGUAAGAGACCACCAGGUCCAGCUGUAAGGCAGGAUGCUUGUAAACCCCAUCCGGUGCAAGAUCAAGUAUACCCCAAGAUGUAGUCCGCAUCAUUAUUUAGGGGAGGGUUGAUCGCGUGAUCCAAUCAGAAAUGGUUGGACCAGAUGAAUGACUGUCGAUAACAGAACUCGGCUUAUAGAUCGGCUCUAAUU
rnacentral:RNase_P_RNA from 1 species